GGUAACUUGUCCGAGUGGUUAAGGAGACUGACUCGAAUAAAUUGUGCUUUGCAAUUUGACAGUGAUAUCAGUUGGGCUUUGCCCGCGCAGGUUCAAAUCCUGCAGUUGCCG
rfam:Lodderomyces elongisporus NRRL YB-4239 supercont1.1 genomic scaffold, whole genome shotgun sequence.